CCUGAGGUCACCAUGGGCCUCAGGUCUGUCUCAUCAACCCCUAGAGGACGGGGGUCAUAUUCCUGGAAUAGCUCCAAGAAGCCCCACCCAGUUUUAGGUCAAAAGCUUGACAAAUAAGUAUUGUUUCAACAGCAGAGGCCCUGGCUUGAGAUACACACAGGGAGAAGAUGUCCAUGUGAAGACACAGAGAUGCAGGGAGAAUGCUAUGUGAAGACAGAGCAGAGACUAGAGUGGUCCAUCUACAAGCCAAGGAACACCAAGAAUUGCCAGCAACCACCAGAAGCUUGGAGUGAAAUGUGGAAUAAGUUCGCUCUCAGAGCCUCCAGUAGGAACUAACCUUGACUGUGGACUUCUAAUCUCCAGAACUAUGAGAGAAUAAAUUUAUGUUGUUUGAGUCACUCGGUUUGUGGUACUUUGUUACAGCAGCCACAGGAAAUUAAUACACUUGGCCCUCACCUGUCACAGAUCUGCUGGCGCCUUGAUCUUGGACUUCCCAGCCUCCCCAACUGUGAGAAAUAAAUGUUCAUUGUUUAAGCCACUCAGUCUGCGGUAUUUUUGUCAUAGCAGCCCAAGUAGACUAAGACAAGGCUG
rnacentral:lncRNA from 1 species